rnacentral:rRNA from 1 species
UACAGAGGGUGCGAGCGUUAAUCGGAAUUACUGGGCGUAAAGCGUGCGUAGACGGUUAUUUAAGUCGGGUGUGAAAGCCCCGGGCUCAACCUGGGAAUUGCAUUCGAGACUGAAUAGCUAGGGUACGGUAGAGGGAAGUGGAAUUUCCGGUGUAGCGGUGAAAUGCGUAGAUAUCGGAAGGAACAUCAGUGGCGAAAGCGGCUUCCUGGACCAGAACUGACGAUCAGGCACGAAAGCGUGGGGAGCAAACAGG